GGGUUGUGAGGUUAAGCGACUAAGCGUACACGGUGGAUGCCCUGGCAGUCAGAGGCGAUGAAGGACGUGCUAAUCUGCGAAAAGCGACGGCGAGGUGAUAUGAACCUUUGACCCGUCGAUGUCCGAAUGGGGAAACCCAGUGUGUUCCGACACACUAUCGUUAACUGAAUACAUAGGUUAACGAGGCGAACCGGGGGAACUGAAACAUCUAAGUACCCCGAGGAAAAGAAAUCAACCGAGAUUCCCCCAGUAGCGGCGAGCGAACGGGGAGCAGCCCGGAGUCUGAAUCAGCUUGUGUGUUAGUGGAACGGUCUGGAAAGUCCGACGGUACAGGGUGAUAGUCCCGUACACGAAAAUACACUUGCUGUGAACUCGAAGAGUAGGGCGGGACACGUGGUAUCCUGUCUGAAUAUGGGGGGACCAUCCUCCAAGGCUAAAUACUCCUGACUGACCGAUAGUGAACCAGUACCGUGAGGGAAAGGCGAAAAGAACCCCGGCGAGGGGAGUGAAAAAGAACCUGAAACCGUGUACGUACAAGCAGUGGGAGCACCUUCGGGUGUGACUGCGUACCUUUUGUAUAAUGGGUCAGCGACUUAUAUUCUGUAGCAAGGUUAACCGUAUAGGGGAGCCGAAGGGAAACCGAGUCUUAACUGGGCGUUAAGUUGCAGGGUAUAGACCCGAAACCCGGUGAUCUAGCCAUGGGCAGGUUGAAGGUUGGGUAACACUAACUGGAGGACCGAACCGACUAAUGUUGAAAAAUUAGCGGAUGACCUGUGGCUGGGGGUGAAAGGCCAAUCAAACCGGGAGAUAGCUGGUUCUCCCCGAAAGCUAUUUAGGUAGCGCCUCGUGAACUCAUCUUCGGGGGUAGAGCACUGUUUCGGCUAGGGGGCCAUCCCGGCUUACCAACCCGAUGCAAACUACGAAUACCGAAGAAUGUUAUCACGGGAGACACACGGCGGGUGCUAACGUCCGUCGUGAAGAGGGAAACAACCCAGACCGCCAGCUAAGGUCCCAAAGUCAUGGUUAAGUGGGAAACGAUGUGGGAAGGCACAGACAGCCAGGAUGUUGGCUUAGAAGCAGCCAUCAUUUAAAGAAAGCGUAAUAGCUCACUGGUCGAGUCGGCCUGCGCGGAAGAUGUAACGGGGCUAAACCAUGCACCGAAGCUGCGGCAGCGACACUAUGUGUUGUUGGGUAGGGGAGCGUUCUGUAAGCCGUUGAAGGUGUGCUGUGAGGCAUGCUGGAGGUAUCAGAAGUGCGAAUGCUGACAUAAGUAACGAUAAAGCGGGUGAAAAGCCCGCUCGCCGGAAGACCAAGGGUUCCUGUCCAACGUUAAUCGGGGCAGGGUGAGUCGACCCCUAAGGCGAGGCCGAAAGGCGUAGUCGAUGGGAAACAGGUUAAUAUUCCUGUACUUGGUGUUACUGCGAAGGGGGGACGGAGAAGGCUAUGUCAGCCGGGCGACGGUUGUCCCGGUUUAAGCAUGUAGGCGGAGGUUCCAGGUAAAUCCGGUACCUUAUUAACGCUGAGGUGUGAUGACGAGGCACUACGGUGCUGAAGUGAUAAAUGCCCUGCUUCCAGGAAAAGCCUCUAAGCAUCAGGUAACACGAAAUCGUACCCCAAACCGACACAGGUGGUCAGGUAGAGAAUACCAAGGCGCUUGAGAGAACUCGGGUGAAGGAACUAGGCAAAAUGGUGCCGUAACUUCGGGAGAAGGCACGCUGAUA
rnacentral:rRNA from 1 species